CACUUUUAAUAGCUCUUGCUACUGUAUUAUUGUAAGUUUAAACGUCUCGGUUUCUUCGCAAAGCUGCAGAGAGAAGUUUGACGAUAUGGCAUCCAAAUAUAUCAAAUGGAUUCAAUUUUGCAUCAUUCAGGUACUGCUCCAGCAACAAGUCAUCAACUUCGGACUCACUAUCAUCCCUUCUGAUUAGCUGCAGUUUGCCUCUUCCAAUAUUCUUCUGCACUCCAAGGAAGGAACAAAUACACUCUGCAAGCAAAAAACAAUGUACAUUUGUUUCAAUACCUUCAAUUCCUUGUCAGACAAGGCAACACCGUGAACAUAUGCACCAAAAUUGUGAUGACACAAAUUCUGCAUGCAUAAAUUCUCAUAUAAAUUAUGUAUCUCAAAAAAGUUAUUAUUUGUCAACAUUGAAAAACAUUAAAUAGCACGUUUUCCUUUCAAGCCGGAAGUAUGUAGGCUAUGCCAUGCAUUGUUGGGGUGCAAGUGGAUGUCAUCACGUCACACACUUGUGCCUCAAUGAAUGGUAGUUUCACAUAGGGGGCCAAGCAGCCUAGUUAAUCUAGCACAAACUGACCAGUGUGAAGGGAAACAAUCAUGCACAAGAUGGAAAUUUUACUUCAGAAUAGUAGAUGGGUUAUUUCUCCAAAUAAGUAAGUAUGCUUAGAUUUAAAACUGCUUCUAAACAUGCAGUAUCAAACUUGUUUAACAUGGAUGUUAAAUAUUCUGAGAUUGAAAAUCUCUCUCAUGACCUUGGUAACAAGGCAACACUUACAAUAAAAUGAACCGUAUCACUUAAAAAUCACAUGCUGGAACUGUCACAGAGGUUUAGUGAAACAUGAUUAACCAGUACUGCAUCAUUGAACUGAACGGCUCAAUGAGUACUUAUUACAAGUCAAACCUCAGGCUAGAAUC